rnacentral:rRNA from 1 species
GUAGGGUGCGAGCGUUAAUCGGAAUUACUGGGCGUAAAGCGUGCGCAGGCGGGCUUUUAAGCCAGACGUGAAAUCCCCGGGCUUAACCUGGGAAUGGCGUUUGGGACUGGGAGUCUGGAGUGCGGCAGAGGAGACUGGAAUUCCUGGUGUAGCAGUGAAAUGCGUAGAUAUCAGGAGGAACACCGAUGGCGAAGGCAGGUCUCUGGGCUGACACUGACGCUCAUGCACGAAAGCGUGGGGAGCAAACAGGAUUAGAUACCCUGGUAGUCCACGCCCUAAACGAUGUCGACUGGUUGUUGGGGGUUUGACACUCUCAGUAACGAAGCUAACGCGUGAAGUCGACCGCCUGGGGAGUACGGCCGCAAGGUUA